rnacentral:rRNA from 1 species
AUUGAACGCUGGCGGCAUGCCUUACACAUGCAAGUCGAGCGGCAGCGCGGGGGCAACCCUGGCGGCGAGCGGCGGACGGGUGAGUAAUACAUCGGAACGUGUCCUUUCGUGGGGGAUAACCAGUCGAAAGACUGGCUAAUACCGCAUGAGAUCUCACGAUGAAAGCGGGGGACCGCAAGGCCUCGCGCGAUUGGAGCGGCCGAUGUCGGAUUAGCUAGUUGGCGGGGUAAAGGCCCACCAAGGCGACGAUCCGUAGCUGGUUUGAGAGAACGACCAGCCACACUGGGACUGAGACACGGCCCAGACUCCUACGGGAGGCAGCAGUGGGGAAUUUUGGACAAUGGGGGCAACCCUGAUCCAGCCAUGCCGCGUGUGUGAAGAAGGCCUUCGGGUUGUAAAGCACUUUCGGCCGGAACGAAAUCGCGCGGGCGAAUAUCCCGCGUGGAUGACGGUACCGGAAGAAGAAGCACCGGCUAACUACGUGCCAGCAGCCGCAGUAAAAC